GGAUGUGAGGGCGAUCUGGCUGCGACAUCUGUCACCCCAUUGAUCACCAGGGUUGAUUCGGCUGAUCUGACUGGCUAGGUGGGUGUUCCCUUCCUCCUCAGUGCUCCACGUGCGUCCCUCCCGAAGCUGUGAGCUCAGUCAAAGAGGACAAAGUUCCCCGAUAGAGGAGAGGGCCGUUCUUCGGUCAAGGGUAUAUGAGUAGCUGCGCUCCCCUGCUAGAACCUCCAAACAAGCUCUCAAGGUCUGUUUGUAGGUGGGGGGGGGGGACCACUAGAUGUUAAGGAGUAUCUGUGAUAUUCCAC
rnacentral:snRNA from 1 species